rnacentral:rRNA from 1 species
CCAGUACUCCGUUCUCGGAAUUACUGGGCGUAAAGCGCGCGUAGGUGGUUCAGCAAGUUGGAUGUGAAAUCCCCGGGCUCAACCUGGGAACUGCAUCCAAAACUACUGAGCUAGAGUACGGUAGAGGGUGGUGGAAUUUCCUGUGUAGCGGUGAAAUGCGUAGAUAUAGGAAGGAACACCAGUGGCGAAGGCGACCACCUGGACUGAUACUGACACUGAGGUGCGAAAGCGUGGGGAGCAAACAGGAUUAGAUACCCCCUGUAGUCCCAG